CGUAACAAGGUCUUCGUAGGUGAACCUGCGGAGGGAUCAUUACCGAGUUAGGGUCCUCAUCGGGCCCGACCUCCCAACCCAUUGUUUAUGAUACCUAGUGUUGCUUCGGUAGGCCUGGUCUAUCUGUUAUAGACCUGCCGGGGGGCCGUAAGACGCCCGCCGGAGAGUGCCUACCGACAGCCUCAACUCCCAAAAUUCUUUAACCAAACGUGUCUUUGUYUGAGUAACGUCUUUUAAAAAUAAAGCAAAACUUUCAACAACGGAUCUCUUGGUUCUGGCAUCGAUGAAGAACGCAGCGAAAUGCGAUAAGUAAUGCGAAUUGCAGAAUUCUCGUGAGUCAUCGAAUCUUUGAACGCACAUUGCGCCCUUUGGUAUUCCGAAGGGCAUGCCUGUUCGAGCGUCAUUUUCACCCCUCAAGCCCCCGGCUUGGUGUUGGACGGUCUGGUCCGGGGACCUCAAACCCCCUGGACCCCUCCCAAAGACAAUGACGGCGGGCUGUUGAACCCCCGGUACACUGAGCAUCUUCACGGAGCACGUACCGGUCUCAAGGGUCGACGGCACCCGGUCUAUACCUAUAUUUUUCAAGGUUGACCUCGGAUCAGGUAGGAAUACCCGCUGAACUUAAGCAUAUCAAUAAGCGGAGGAAAAGAAACCAACAGGGAUUGCCUCAGUAACGGCGAGUGAAGCGGCAACAGCUCAAAUUUGAAAUCUGGCCUCUUCGGGGUCCGAGUUGUAAUUUGUAGAGGAUGUUUCGGGUACCGCCUCGGUUUAAAUUUCUUGGAACAGAAUGUCAGAGAGGGUGAGAAUCCCGUCUUGGACCGGCGGUAGGGCCCAUGUGAAACUCCUUCGACGAGUCGAGUUGUUUGGGAAUGCAGCUCAAAAUGGGUGGUAAAUUUCAUCUAAAGCUAAAUAUUGGCCAGAGACCGAUAGCGCACAAGUAGAGUGAUCGAAAGAUGAAAAGAACUUUGAACAGAGAGUUAAACAGUAUGUGAAAUUGUUGAAAGGGAAGCGCUUACAACCAGACUUGAGCGCGGCGGUUCCCCCUUCCUUUUGGUUGGGUUACUCCGCCGUGUCCAGGCCAACAUCGGUUCUGGGGGUCGGUUAAAGGCCUGGGGAAUGUAUCUACUCCUUCGGGGGUAGACUUAUAGCCCCGGGUGUCAUGCGACCACCCGGGACCGAGGAACGCGCUUCGGCUCGGAUGUUGGCGUAAUGGUUGUCAGCGACCCGUCUUGAAACACGGACCAAGGAGUCUAACAUCUAUGCGAGUGUUUGGGUGUCAAACCCGGAACGCGAAAUGAAAGUGAACGGAGGUAGGAAGCCUUUAGGCUGCACUAUCGACCGAUCCUGAUGUCUUCGGAUGGAUUUGAGUAAGAGCAUAGCUGUUGGGACCCGAAAGAUGGUGAACUAUGCCUGAAUAGGGUGAAGCCAGAGGAAACUCUGGUGGAGGCUCGCAGCGGUUCUGACGUGCAAAUCGAUCGUCAAAUUUGGGUAUAGGGGCGAAAGACUAAUCGAACCAUCUGGUAGCUGGUUCCUGCCGAAGUUUCCCUCAGGAUAGCAGUAACGAAAUCAGUUUUAUGAGGUAAAGCGAAUGAUUAGAGGCCUUGGGGUUGAAACAACCUUAACCUAUUCUCAAACUUUAAAUAUGUAAGAAGCCCUUGUUGCUUAAUGAACGUGGGCAUUGA
rnacentral:rRNA from 1 species